AAUCCAUGCAUCAGACAUUUCUGAAGUAAUUCCUUAAAUCAUUCCCAAGCUUCAUAUAACGUUUCAUCCUCUAAUUUCUGUAAAGAUGUGAUGUUAUUUCGAAGCUU
rnacentral:snoRNA from 1 species